rnacentral:tRNA from 1 species
CAACUUAAUAGUUUAUUUAGAAUGAUAGCUUUGGGGGUUAUAGGUCUCUUGUUGUUGAGUUAGUUGA